AGAAAAAGAUACUCCUAGUUAUAUUUGCUUGGAAGAAGGAGUUGAAGGCUCCUUUGAAAGCAUGGAAGUAGAGAGAGUUGAGGAUUCAUUUGACAGCAUAGAAGAAAAAAGAAUUGAAGAUUCCUUUGAUAGCAUUGACGAUGAUGCUGAAUCAGGCUUGCAAGAUGACAAAAUCAUGGAAGAAACUCCUGGUGAUAUUUGCUUGAAAGAAAGAGUUGAAGACUCCUUUGAAAGGAUGGAAGUAGAGAGUUGAAGAUUCAUUUGACAACUUACAAGAAAAAAGAAUUGAAGACUCAUUUGAUAGCAUUGAAGAUGAUGCUGAAUCAGACUUGUACCAUCCCCAUCUUGUUUGUAUUGCCGAGGGAAGGAGAAGUGAAGUUAGGGCUGAGUUAGCUAGUGGAGUUACCAGCAGAGUUUUUCUUAUUUAUAUUCUUUAUCAUGUUCUAUUUUUUCUGAAAAUUUCCAUUCUUGUCUUCCAGCUAGCGCUCUAUCUCAAUUUUAGUAGCUGGCAUUCUUUGCAUAUACAUCAACUAUGAUUGUGACAGGCAAAGGCAAGAAUUUCGUAGGACAAAUGGAAAAGGCACAGUCUGGGGAAAAGCUCCAUCAAAGAUAGAGGCCACAUAUACUACUACUUCUGGGGAAACUAAAAGAAGCCUUCUUUUAACCUCUGGAUGGUGGGGGACUAUCUCGUCACUUUCAUUAUGUCCCUGAAAUACUGGCAGCUUUCUUCUGGACAGUCCCAGCUCUCUUCAAUCAUUUUUUGCCUUACUUCUACGUGAUAUUUCUUACCAUCCUUCUCUUUGAUCGAGCAAAACGAGAUGAUGAUCGAUGCAGAUCCAAGCAUGGCAAGUACUGGAAACUAUAUUGUGACAAGGUAGCUUACAGAAUCAUUCCAGGAAUAUACUGAAGAAUGAUUAUUGACAAGGGCUUGUCUGGAGUCCCCCAACUGAAAAGUGAACUUUGUUUGCUUGGUGCCACCUUAAGAUGCGUGAUAGAGCUCAUUAAGUAAUUAUGGAACCAUAUUUUUUAAGCCAAUGUCGAGACUUGUGAGAAAAGUGCAUGGUUUACGGGAUGGUGGUACGAUUUGGAGUUUUAUUCUCACAUAUCAAGCAGAACAACUCUCCCAGAAGACUCUACAAGCUAUAAAGUAAACUACAACAUUGGUCAAGCAAUCUCCAGGCUGGGAUCUUUUUCGAUAAAUUUCUCUAUAGAUAAAAUAAGAAGAACAAAUUAAAUAAGGUUUUUUAUAAGUAACAUAUCUCUUCAUUAACUAAUCAUUAAUAAAUUUGUAGAUAUCUUCUUAUUUUUAAAGAGAUAUAUGAGAGAAUUUUUACAAAUUUAUUAAUAGAGAACUUCUUAUAAUUUAUGAAAAAAUUCAUCUCAAUAUUUACUUCUUAUUUUUUAUUCUUGGUUAAAAUUUCAGAGAAAUCUUCCAUCAAUAACUGAAAACCAAGGUAGGUGUUCAACAUCACAAAAUGAAAAUGAAUUUUUAUAAACAAAAAAACGUAUAAAUUUCAGAAUAUUUGUUUCCCACUUUCCUUAUGUUAUUAAACAAAAUAGAAAUCACUUUUGACACAUCUCUUAAAUUUGUUUCCCUUGUUCCUAGAUUUUUUUUUUUUUUUGCCAUUAGUACAUACCGCUAAAAAUUAUUAACGGUUGAUGAUGUGACUAACGGUUGUUCAUGUUAGUAAGUGUCAUAAUUUAUUUUAUUUCAUCUUUCAUUGUUUUGGUUACUCUUAAAAACCAUUCAUUCUCAGGUGGUUUGGCUGCCAAAAUUUUUAGAAUUUUUUUUAUUUGCUAUGUUCAUAAACUAUCUACGGAAUAAAAAAAAUUAUGAUAUUUAGAAAAAUAAAAUAAAUAACUUGAUAAAAGUCAACU